UGAAAAACAAAUAAUAAAGAAUUAGAUUUACAACUUUAAACCAAGCACUGAUGGAAGAAGGCAAUACAUUUACAAUUACCACCUUCCAUCUUUCACUUUUUCAUAAUAAAUUAUUAGUAUUAAAGUGAAGAUUAAAUUGAACAUGUAUGAAGUUCUUUUUAAAAUAGAGGAUGGUAAUAGAUUAAUUGUAUUAAGAUUUAUCAAAUGUAUUUUAAAGUAAUAGUGAAUCAUCUAUGAGAUCAAUUUUAUCCAUGUAUAGUUAGUGUUUUAUUUUUACUAAAUAAAGUGCAGAAACUUAAACCACAAUGUUUAUGUUGAGUUGAUGAAAAUUGGUCCAUAAUUGCUCAAGUUGGCAAUGAUGAUAAAUGUGAUAGUUUUUGUAAAUUGUAUACUCUUUAUAAAUUAAUUAUAUAUAUAAUUUUAAAGAUUUUCAUGAAGGUAUUUGAAAUAUUUCUCCAAGACUUUUGUUAUAUAAUUUUUUGGAAGAGUUUGUUUUUUUAUAAAGAACAGAAGAAAUGUGUUCACAUAAAAAAAAAAUAAAUAAAUAAAAAAUGAUACUUCUUCCAAUUAAAAAUGUUUUGAAUCUCAUAUAUAUUUUAAAUAGGUUGCGACAAAAAGAGAAUAUUUCAUUUUUCUUAAUUUUUUUCAGUUGUUUAGUAAAAUGUGAUUUCUCAGAUUAUAUUCUUAAGUAGAACAAAAAAAAUGAAAAAAAUAUUUAAUAAUAAAAAAACACACUUUAUUAAAUAAUUAAAAAAAUAAAAAAAAAUCAACUCCCGCGAAAGAGGGAUUAAUAUGCAUGAUGUGCAACCUCAAAAAAGCAGUGAUAAUAAGUUAAUAACUUUAAAAAUCAUCAAUUAUAUUUUUAGGAAGAAUUACUAAGAGGUAAUUUUUCUUUGUAGUAGUUAGUAGUUGUCAAUAUAAUAUUAAAUUUAAUAGGACUAUAAAUAGUAAUAAGACUUUGAACAGUUCAUACAUAACAUUAAAGUAUAAAUUAGUUUAAAACAUUUUUUAUUUUAAUCAACUUAUCAUUGUAUACUUAAUUAAAAAUUCAGUUAGUAACAUAUUUGCAGUUAUACCAUCAAAGUUAGUAAGAUAUUUGAGGUUUAAUAACACAUGAUGAUUUUAUACAAUCAAAAUGCAGUCAGUGAACAUUGUUAUAAACAAUAUUUGGGGUUGAAUUAGAAUACUUUGUUUGUUGUUUGGGUUAAAACAAAAAGUACAGCCAAAACUACUAGUUAGUUGAAUGAGUGAUAGUCCGCGGAAAACAACAUCAAUAAUGAAUCCCGACUAAAACCCCAAAGUGGUCCCUGAGAUUGGGCGAGUUACCCAUACUUGUCCUUGACUUUCAAAAUUCCCUAAUAGCAUCCCUGACAUUCAGCUCCGGGACCCAUAGUUGCCCUGCAACCCUUUCCGGCGCCAAGUCAGCAAACGGAGGGAUGAUCUGGCACCUCCAAUGCCACGCUGGAGCCAACAACGGCUAGCUGAUGUGGCAAAUCUGAAUUUUGUACCCAAUCUGGUCCCUGGUCCCAUUAAAACCCUAAAAGCUAAGAUCAUCCUCUUCAUCGCCUGAGCUUCAAACUGCUGCUGCUGAUUCCUUCUCAGAUCAUCCUCUUCAUCACCUCCAGCUCCAGGUAAUAACACAUACAGAUCAUAUGCCUUCCAUUUCGAUCUGCCAUUUCUCUAUUUCCUGAUUGCUAGCUGCUGCUACCAUAAUAUGAAUGUAACUUGGCUAAAUUUCAGUUUCUUCUAAAAUUGUAAUCACUCAAUACUCAAAACUAUAAGCUGCCGCUGCUUUUGUCAGUUUGCAAUUGUUUGAUGUAGCAUUGCAUUGUGUUACUUACUGUAGACAUGUGCUGCAAAUGCAAAUGAAAAAGGUGACAAGGCUUCCUUGAUUCCUCAAUCCAGACGGCCUGCACUCCCCUCUCUGCAAAUACCCCUAUGGUCAUUAGAUGCCGCAUUAUCUUCUUUCGCAAAGACAGAUGGUCCUUCCACAUCCACCUACUUCAAGGACCCUCUCUCUUAAUGGUAAAGGUUCAUUCUCUCCAUUAUCAAAGGUUGCCCACUCAUUACCGGUUACUCCAAUCGCAUCUUUGGGUUAAGAAAGUGUACAUGGCAGACAUCUGGGAUGUGCUUCUGAUUUAAAUACAAUGGUUGUCAAGCAGCAUAUAACUCGAUCACUUUCGGUUCCAGUUGAUGCCUAGCCAGCAAAUUGAGGUGCACUCAGUCUAGGGUCUUGAUUCGUAUCAUUUCAGCCAGGCGGCAUCUUGCAACUGUUGAUGGAACUUCAACUGGUGAUUCUUCAGUCAUGGAGAUUGCUAUUGAGGAUGCUAUAGCAGAUAUUCCAGAGGAAGAAGCAGUUUGUAGGAUUUGUUUGGCAGAGCUCGGGGAAGG